ACUUUUUUUUCUUUUUUUUUUUUUUUAAGCGGUGCACCUGCGGCAUGCCGGCGGCGACAUCUCCAAUUAGACCCCUAGCCUGGGAACCUCUAUAUGUCGUGGGUGCGGCCCUAGAAAAGACAAAAAGACAAAAAAAAAGCAGUUAAACCUUUCACUUAUCUUUGACUUCAUCUAAAAUUAAGUUUUAUUUGUACGCUUUUUUUUUUUCUUUUUUUUUUUUUAAGGCUACACCUGUGGCAUAUGGAAGUUCCCAGGCCAGAGAUGGAAUGAGAGCUGCAGCUGCCUGCCUACACCAGAGCCACAGUCAACACCAGAUCCAAGCCACAUCUGCAACCUGCACUGCAGCUUGUGGCAAUGCGGGAUCCUUAACUCACUGAGUGAGGCCAGGAAUUGAACCCACAUCCUCAUGGACACUAUGUCAGGUUCUUAGACCAUUGAGUCACAACAGGAACUCUUAAAUUUUGAUUGAUAUUUUAAAGGCCAAAAAGCUCAGGUGAUUCUCCUCUUUUAUGUCAUGGUUUCUAGUGCUUGUAUGUUGUAAAUAGAAUAUGAUUUUAUAAACAUUUUGUUUUCUAGACAUGUAUUGCUACUCAUGAAUCUAAUGGGAUUGAUAUCAUCAUCGCUUUGAUUCUAAAUGACAUAAAUCCUCUUGGUAAAUAUCGAAUGGACCUGGUACUCCAACUAAAGGUAGAGUAAACCCACUGUUCGUGGGGAGUUGGGGGUUGACAUUCUCUAUACAAAACUCCUUUUCAGAGUUGACUCUAAAUCUUCAAGUAGAUCUUGUAAAAAGCAAGGUAUUAUUAUAUUUUCAACUAAUGAGUUGACAGAAAGGGAUAGUAAAAGCAAAGUGAGCACUGAAAUCCUGAUAAAAUAUCAAAUAAGAUCUGAGGUCAUGUUAGUUGGAGGGCACUUUCUUGGAAUUUUUUUUUAAUCAGCUGCUUUGUUUCACUGCUUUUCUUCUGCUUUUAUUAUAUAUUUUUCAGUAUAUAGAGGAGCACAAGGUGCUGAGCAUUCACUAUACCAUAUAUUUUUAAUUCAUCUUGACCACAGAAUUCUGUCUAGCAGGUCAUAAUUGGUUAGACCGUGUCACAGGAGGGCUGAAUUGUAGUUUUAUGUCUCUCUUCUUUCUCAAAGUUGUUUUCUUUUAUAUUAGAAUUAUAUCUUCCCCCCAAAUACUCUGAGCCAUUUUCACACCCCCUUGGAGAAGUUGCUUUAACUUAAACCAUGUGUCUUCUUCCCAGAGGUUCCAUUUCUCAGAGGUCAGGAACACAAUGGCAUUUGGGAAAAAAAAAAAAGAAACGUCUUCAAUUUUUUUUUUGUCCAAAUAGAAAUAGAGAAUUGAAUAUACAUGAGAAACUGUAUACAUCCCAAAUAUAGAACUAUAAUACUCAAUUGAGAUGAAUUGUUAAAGAACACAUAUGUUUAGUGUUAAACAGGCUUUAAAUCAAUUGGUUAAAUAAUUUUUUUCUAUAAAGACAGGUCUAUCCAAUAUCAUAGAGAGUAUAAAGUUUAACUGUGUGAGUAACUUUAUGGCCAAGAAGAAUAGAAAUGAUAUUUUUGGAAUUCUGUUUAUGAAUAUAGAUUUAGCUAUAUAAUGGAAUAUAUAUCUAAAUAUAUUUUAUAUGUACCUCUAAAUCUAUAUUCUGCUCAUGCGGAGAUUGUGCUAAUAGCUCUUAAUAAGAAAAAAAAGAGGUAGGUUUGUAUGUUUUCACUAUGUUCGUUUGCAGUGUGUAUAAACUUUGGGUCCUCCUAUUCAUAGAUUAGAAAGGUGAUCUUUAUGUAGACUGAACUUGUAUCCUUUUCCCCAUUAGUUUCGUGUUUCAGUUAGAAAAGUCAGCCUAGGUCUAUAUGAUAGACAGCUUAAUGUGAGUUACCAGAAAAAAAAA
rnacentral:lncRNA from 1 species